rfam:Bombyx mori DNA, contig: Bm_scaf69_contig30698, strain: p50T/Dazao, build 2, whole genome shotgun sequence.
UUAACUGAAAUAUGUAUGGAGCUGGAACGUUUGCCUACGUUAGCCGCUAGGGGCGUUGUUCCAAAUGCAUACAGAUUUGAGUAA